CCCAGCUGUAGGCAACUGCCUAGGCUUCCUUGUACCUCGGCGAGUUUACACUGCUGGGAGAAAAGCAACCAAUAUCUGGCUGGCAUUCUGGGCUUGGUUAAUGCCUAAUUUAUGUUAAUCAUGCCAGUAUGCCAGCUUACUUGCUUAUUAUUCUCUUUUAAAUGUAAGCGGGUUAGGUGGGGAACUCCAGAGUAGAACACC
rnacentral:snoRNA from 1 species